AACGAACGCUGGCGGCAGGCCUAACACAUGCAAGUCGAGCGAGCCCUUCGGGGCUAGCGGCGGACGGGUGAGUAACGCGUGGGAACGUGCCCUUCUCUACGGAAUAGCCUCGGGAAACUGAGAGUAAUACCGUAUAAGCCCUUCGGGGGAAAGAUUUAUCGGGGAAGGAUCGGCCCGCGUUGGAUUAGGUAGUUGGUGGGGUAAUGGCCUACCAAGCCGACGAUCCAUAGCGGGUUUGAGAGGAUGAUCAGCCACACUGGGACUGAGACACGGCCCAGACUCCUACGGGAGGCAGCAGUGGGGAAUCUUAGACAAUGGGGGAAACCCUGAUCUAGCCAUGCCGCGUGAGUGACGAAGGCCUUAGGGUCGUAAAGCUCUUUCGCUGGGGAAGAUAAUGACGGUACCCAGUAAAGAAACCCCGGCUAACUCCGUGCCAGCCGCCGCCGUAA
rnacentral:rRNA from 1 species